CGCUGGCGGCGUGCUUCAUACAUGCAAGUCGAACGAUAAGGCACCUUCGGGUGUACAUAAGUGGCGGACGGGUGAGUAAAAUGUAGAGAAUCUGCCCUAGAGCGGGGGACAACAGCUGGAAACGGUUGCUAAUACCCCAUAUGAGCGUAGUUGAGAUACUAUUCUUGAAAACUCCGGUGCUCUGGGAUGAGUCUGCAUCUGAUUAGCUAGUUGGGGGUGUAAUGGACCACCAAGGCGACGAUCAGUAGCUGGUUUGAGAGGAUGAUCAGCCACAAUGGGACUGAGACACGGCCCAUACUCCUACGGGAGGCAGCAGUAGGGAAUUUUGCGCAAUGGGGGAAACCCUGACGCAAGCAACGCCGCGUGAUUGAAGAAGCCCUUCGGGGUGUAAAGAUCUGUCAGUGGGGACGAAACUUGACGGUACCCACAGAGGAAGCAUCGGCUAACUCCGUGCCAGCAGCCGC
rnacentral:rRNA from 1 species